rnacentral:rRNA from 1 species
UACGUAGGGGGCAAGCGUUGUCCGGAAUUAUUGGGCGUAAAGAGCUCGUAGGCGGUGUGUCGCGUCGGCCGUGAAAACCUGCAGCUUAACUGUGGGCGUGCGGUCGAUACGGGCAUCACUGGAGUUCAGCAGGGGAGACUGGAAUUCCUGGUGUAGCGGUGAAAUGCGCAGAUAUCAGGAGGAACACCGGUGGCGAAGGCGGGUCUCUGGGCCGAUACUGACGCUGAGGAGCGAAAGCGUGGGGAGCAAACAGG